UACGGAGGGGGCUAGCGUUGUUCGGAAUUACUGGGCGUAAAGCGCGCGUAGGCGGAUCUGCAAGUUGGGGGUGAAAGCCCGAGGCUCAACCUCGGAACUGCCUUCGAUACUGCGGGUCUCGAGUCCGGGAGAGGUGAGUGGAAUUCCUAGUGUAGAGGUGAAAUUCGUAGAUAUUAGGAAGAACACCAGUGGCGAAGGCGGCUCACUGGCCCGGUACUGACGCUGAGGCGCGAAAGCGUGGGGAGCAAACAGG
rnacentral:rRNA from 1 species